rnacentral:rRNA from 1 species
UACGGAGGGGGCUAGCGUUGUUCGGAAUUACUGGGCGUAAAGCGCGCGUAGGCGGACCUGCAAGUCGGGGGUGAAGGCCCGAGGCUCAACCUCGGAACUGCCUUCGAUACUGCGGGUCUCGAGUCCGGGAGAGGUGAGUGGAAUUCCUAGUGUAGAGGUGAAAUUCGUAGAUAUUAGGAAGAACACCAGUGGCGAAGGCGGCUCACUGGCCCGGUACUGACGCUGAGGCGCGAAAGCGUGGGGAGCAAACAGG